rnacentral:rRNA from 1 species
AGUGAACGCUGGCGGUAUGCCUAACACAUGCAAGUCGAACGGCAGCACAGUAAGAGCUUGCUCUUACGGGUGGCGAGUGGCGGACGGGUGAGGAAUACAUCGGAAUCUACUUUUUCGUGGGGGAUAACGUAGGGAAACUUACGCUAAUACCGCAUACGACCUACGGGUGAAAGCAGGGGAUCUUCGGACCUUGCGCGAUUGAAUGAUCCGAUGUCGGAUUAGCUAGUUGGCGGGGUAAAGGCCCACCAAGGCGACGAUCCGUAGCUGGUCUGAGAGGAUGAUCAGCCACACUGGAACUGAGACACGGUCCAGACUCCUACGGGAGGCAGCAGUGGGGAAUAUUGGACAAUGGGCGCAAGCCUGAUCCAGCCAUACCGCGUGGGUGAAGAAGGCCUUCGGGUUGUAAAGACCUUUUGUUGGGAAAGAAAAGCAGCAGGUUAAUACCCCGCUGUUCUGACGGUACCCAAAGAAUAAGCACCGGCUAACUUCGUG